AUUUUGGGCAAUGGGCGCAAGCCUGACCCAGCGACACCGCGUGGGGGAUGAAGGCCUUCGGGUUGUAAACCCCUGUCAGGAGGGAAGAAGCCCUCGCAAGAGGGUGACGGUACCUCCAGAGGAAGCCCCGGCUAACUACGUGCCAGCAGCCGCGGUAAGACGUAGGGGGCGAGCGUUGUCCGGAUUUACUGGGCGUAAAGCGCGUGUAGGCGGCCUGCUAAGUGGCGUGUGAAAUCCCAUCGCUCAACGGUGGGGGGUCGCGCCAGACUGGCGGGCUUGGGGGUGGCAGAGGGUGGUGGAAUUCCCGGUGUAGCGGUGAAAUGCGUAGAUAUCGGGAGGAACGCCAGUGGCGAAGGAGGUCACCUGGGCCAUCCCUAACGCUGAGACGCGAAAGCUGGGGGAGCGAAC
rnacentral:rRNA from 1 species